AUUGAACGCUGGCGGCAGGCCUAACACAUGCAAGUCGAGCGAGCGGCGGACGGGUGAGUCAUGUCUGGGAAACUGCCUGAUGGAGGGGGAUAACUACUGGAAACGGUAUCUAAUACAGCAUACCAUCAGAUGUGCCCAGAUGUGAUUAGCUAGUAGGUGGGGUAAUGGGUCACCUAGGCGACGAUCCCUAGCUGGGCUGCGAGGAUGACCAGCAACACUGGAACUGAGACACGGUCCAGACUCCGACGGGAGGCAGCAGUGGGGAAUAUUGAACAAUGGGCGCAAGCCUGAUGCAGCCAGGCCGCGGGUGUGAAGAAGGCCUUCGGGUUGUAAAGCACUUUCAGCGGGGAGGCGUUGCCCGCAGAAGAAGCACCGGCUAACUCCGUGCCAGCAGCGGCGGUAAUAC
rnacentral:rRNA from 1 species